rnacentral:rRNA from 1 species
GAUGAACGCUGGCGGCGUGCUUAACACAUGCAAGUCGAACGAAACACCUUAUUUGAUUUUCUUCGGAACUGAAGAUUUGGUGAUUGAGUGGCGGACGGGUGAGUAACGCGUGGGUAACCUGCCCUGUACAGGGGGAUAACAGUCAGAAAUGACUGCUAAUACCGCAUAAGACCACAGCACCGCAUGGUGCAGGGGUCAAAACUCCGGUGGUACAGGAUGGACCCGCGUCUGAUUAGCUGGUUGGUGAGGUAACGGCUCACCAAGGCGACGAUCAGUAGCCGGCUUGAGAGAGUGAACGGCCACAUUGGGACUGAGACACGGCCCAAACUCCUACGGGAGGCAGCAGUGGGGAAUAUUGCACAAUGGGGGAAACCCUGAUGCAGCGACGCCGCGUGAGUGAAGAAGUAUUUCGGUAUGUAAAGCUCUAUCAGCAGGGAAGAAAAUGACGGUACCUGACUAAGAAGCCCCGGCUAACUACGUG